rnacentral:lncRNA from 1 species
GUACGUACAGCGAGAGUUCUUGUUUUGCUGCACCACUUUGAGGUGUUGUAGUGGUGGGAGUAAGGAGUUUAGUGAGGUCCUGGACUUGAUUUCCGUGAACUAAUGGGUAGGAGUUCUUUAGCAAGGGAAGAAAAAAUUCCAUAUUGUCUGAAGACUUGCUAGCAAAUAGGGAGUAAUUGAAGAAAUACACUUGAACACAUCACUACUGAAAUGAGAGGAGAUAAAUGAACCGUUUACCUUUAAGAGGCUAUUAAAGAAAAUAAAAUUGUUCUCAGUGGUUUGUAUGUCUUUCUAGGCAUUUUGUUAGUGUUUUUAGGAGGGCCAGCUCUGUGUGUGUACAUGCAUAUGUGUGUGUUUAUCUCUAAUUUUCAAAGUCUAAAUUGUGGUCCACACGUUAGUAACCCUGGCUGACUCUUCAUCUAUCUUUAUCUCUGUUUGUUGAAACACUGCUCCAAAAACAAUAAAUAAUCCAGAGAGAGAAGGAAGCAUCCAGGAAAACUGCUGAAAGUUUUGAGGAAACCCUGCGUACUUACAUUGGAACGAAAAUGAGAAGUUUGGCUGCUAAGGUGAAGGCAUUGAAAGAAGUCAGGCACACAAGGAAGAACAGUUGUUUUGGGGAGCAGCUCUCAGAAGCCAUAAAAGUGGUCACAGAAGGAUGUCUCACUGUUCCGUGUUCCUUGGAAAAAUUGCAGAAGAUUUGGACAGAGUAUGACUUGGCUCAAGA